rnacentral:lncRNA from 1 species
UCGGGCAGGGAAAAAAGACAGAGAAAUGGUUUUUUUUUUCUUCAUAGGAUUUUGGGAAGACUGAGGCAAUCGUUGCUGGAGUCAGUGUUGUAAAAGUGAAUCGAGAUUUUUAAUGAAGUGGGUUUGAUUACUCUUGAUUGUUUUGUGAAAUCGAGUUACGUCUGUAAUGAAGAGUUAAAAGGGUGUCUAUAGGAUUGAGUAUGCGGAGUGAAUGAAAUUUAUUGGGUUAAUCUAACAAGACAGUCAGUGGAUAC